UUUCCACCUUUGCUGUGCGCACCCUGCCCUUGAUCAGUCCUCUUUGUUUAUUCUUUUCUUCUAUGUCAACUUGCCAUUAGUUUAUUCAUUGUUGUAUCUAUUUAAAGUAUGUAACCAGAACCAAAUGGAUCAAGGAAGUAAACUUCCUCACUUCUCUCUUAUGUUUUCGAAAUCUCUCUCUCUCUCUCUCUCUCUCUCUCUGUUGUAUCUAUUUAAAGUAUGUAACCAGAACCAAAUGGAUCAAGGAAAUAAACUUCCUCACUUCUCUCUUAUGUUUUCGAAAUCUCUCUCUUUCUCUCUCUCUCUCUCGGAUUCUUAGUAAAACCCUAGCUAUCUCUUCUCUUUGUUCUUGAUAAAUCACACAAGCCACUCUUAUAACUCAUUCAUUUUAUCA
rnacentral:lncRNA from 1 species